rnacentral:rRNA from 1 species
UACGUAGGGUGCGAGCGUUGUCCGGAAUUACUGGGCGUAAAGAGCUCGUAGGUGGUUCGUCGCGUUGUCCGUGAAAACUCACAGCUCAACUGUGGGCGUGCGGGCGAUACGGGCAGACUGGAGUACUGCAGGGGAGACUGGAAUUCCUGGUGUAGCGGUGGAAUGCGCAGAUAUCAGGAAGAACACCGGUGGCGAAGGCGGGUCUCUGGGCAGUAACUGACGCUGAGGAGCGAAAGCGUGGGGAGCGAACAGG